rnacentral:rRNA from 1 species
CACGUAGGGCGCAAGCGUUGUCCGGAAUUAUUGGGCGUAAAGAGCUCGUAGGCGGUCUGUUGCGUCUGCUGUGAAAACCCGGGGCUUAACCCCUGGCUUGCAGUGGAUACGGACAGACUAGAGGUAGGUAGGGGAGAAUGGAAUUCCCGGUGUAGCGGUGAAAUGCGCAGAUAUCGGGAGGAACACCUGUGGCGAAAGCGGCUCACUGGACCACAACUGACGCUGAGGCGCGAAAGCUAGGGGAGCAAACAGG